rnacentral:lncRNA from 1 species
UUUUUUUUUUUUUUUUUUUGAGAGUGAUAUUUUGUGAGAAGUGGAAAAAGAAUCACUGAAUUUGUAGCCAAAUAUUCUCUAAAAAUAAUAUAAAAAAAAUUAUGUCCCCUUACUAUUUGACCAUGUAGCUUGUGUUAAAUUUGAUUCCUAUUCUCAUCUUCAAUAAUGGAUGUCCUUAAUGAGUUCGACGAGACAAGGAGAGGACAUGUAACUACUUAUGUUUGUUCUUUGGAUUAUCUAGGACUCUAUGAAGAGAAAGUAAUCCACUUAACCAUCAAUGAAACCUUCUUUUUUUUUUUUUUGGAGAAAUGAAGGGAAACAAUCUUAAUAUUCUUUGAAAAUAUUAAUUUGUGUAAGUCUUAUGAGAUAGAUAACAUUAUGCUUUUAAUAGCUUCCUAAUUACUUUCAAAUAUACUCAAAUGUGUAAAGUAGGAUUGAAGCGUAAGAGAUUUAACAUGUUCUUAAAGUUAGGAAGAAUGAUUAUUUUUGCCUAUUAUAUAAAGAUCAGACAUUGGCUUUUAAGCUUUAAAUGAUGUGAUUAGGCAGCCACACUUGAAUUGGGAAAAUUAAAAUGACCAACUAAAGAAAAUGUUUGUGCCAACUUAUUAUAAGUCACUUAUGAUUACUAAUCAUUUUAACGUGGGAUUUUUUUUUAACAAUUUUUUGGUAUGAUUAUAAAAAAAAAAAAAAAAAAAAAAAAUUAUAGCAACUCCAAAAGAUAUUGCCAAGUUGUGCAACUCCAUCAUUGACGACAAUUAAUUUAGAGAAAGGACUUUGAGAUUCAUCAUUAACAGUAAUAAGUUAAGACCCAAUUUGGCUAUGAAUCAGGAUCCUCUCAUGAUCUGAGCACUCCUUAUCUUUUACAGAUCUUGUGCCACAUAUAUUUUAAUAUUAGUAGAUGAUUAUAAUUUAAUUACUUUUUUCUUUUUAAUUUAUUAACCACCAAUCAUAUUAUCAUAAUUUGCUCAGAUGAAGAUUAGAUCAGGAGAGGAUCUUGAUCUAUUUGGCUAUAACUUUGAAGAACUACAUUAAUAAUAAGUUAUUAAUGUUCAACUCAAUUAAAAAGUUACUUAUCAAUUAUAGAACGAUCAAAUUCAGAGUAAGUUGAGAGUAUUUUCUUAUUAUUUUAAAAUUAUUUAAUUAUAUAAACAACAAUAAUAUGUACACAAACUGAUGUAUAUAUAUUUUUUCAAUCUGAAGUGAUAAUUUGCAUGAUAUGAAUGGACUCAUACAAUAGCACCUAUAUUAGAGUAAGAAGAUAUUUGAUUCAUAUGUCUUUAAACAAUCAAAUCAUGUAUUAAUGUUUUUUCUUAUGAUAGUUAUAAAAAAAAUCCUUAAAAUCUUAACAAGUAAAGCUAAAAUUUAUUUUUGACUUUAAGAAUGAAAGUUUACUCCAAAAUGCAAGCUGGAGCUCGAUCCAGUUCUUUCCCACUUACUCGAUAAAGUAUUGGUUGAGGGUGCUUAAAUUGUCAAUAAUGAUUUCAUAAAAAGACAGUAAAACAAGUCCACGUUGCUGAUGAUUCCCGGCAUACCUCAUAAAUAUAAUUAUUAAAAACAAUUAUGAAGAAUCUGAAGAUCAAAGAGCACGCUAUGCUGAUUUAAUUAUGUUAAUUAAACUUUCAAAUCACACAUUGUGCUUGAUUUAUUAAUUUUCAUAAUUUGGCCUUGUUCCCGACAUAGGAAAGUAGACGGAACCAUGAUUAUACGAACCAAACGACAACGGACCAACAGGACUAGCUUAUUUACACAGACAUUGGUAUACGAGAUUUUUUUUGUUGUGUCUUAGAAUUCUUGAGCCUAUUAAAAUUUAAGCACGCACUUUGUCUUUUUAACUUCGACCCAUGUUGUUUGUUAAUUGUAUAUUAAUUAUCAAAAUUAAUGUUUACUUCGUCAAAUCAAGAAGGUUUCACCUCCCACAGGUUGAAGCGUAAAGAAAGCAGAGGAAACAAUUUCUUUGUUUCCCUUCAGUUUUUUUUUUUUUUAUAGUAAAUGUAGAAAUUAGAUUUUGCCCGCGAGAUGAUUUUAUAUUUAUAAAUUUUUUUCAGAAACUAACAUUGCCAGCUGUUCAAUUUGAUUUUUAAAAUAUUUCUUCAAUUUUAAAAAAUCAAGUGAUAAAUUUACAGUUUUCAUAUGUAUAAAUUCAAAUAUAUAUGAGAGGAAAAAUUAAAAGAAAUGCUUUGUAUUAAAUAAUUUAAAAUUAUCAAUAUAGUCUCGUAGCUCCUUCCAAAAAAAUUCAUUUUGAUUAAUUUAUCUCACUCGUGUCGUAUGGCUUCGAUGUCAAGUUGCCACCUAACCAAUGUUGGUUCAUAAGUUUAUUCCAGUUUGGAAUAUAUCAUACAACACUUGGGUAAUAGAUAGCAAUUUAUUGGUGACAGCUAUCCAAAAAAUUUUUAUCCUGAACCAUCCAAAAAAUUUUUAGGCCAGAAUACUUUUAACUAACAAUUACAAAUUUGAUAACAACUCAUUAAUUGAGUUUGGUCAUGCCUAUUUUCAUUCUUUGCAUCAUUAUUGAUUUUAAAAGUUUGAGUAUUUUUUUUUUGGUGUAAAAGUAUUUAUUCGUUUGUAGCUUUUUAUUUUUAAAAUUUAAAAUUUAAAAUUUCGGGAUAAACUUAACUUUAAUAUGUUGAGAUGGACCUGACGAAACAUAUGGGUUGUAUUAUCUGUUGUAUUAUACUCUCAAAUUUCAAAUGUUGUUUUAAAAAUAUAUUAAAUGACAGGGUACAUUAAACGAGGGAUACAAUCACAGUACAUACAAUAAUUAGUGUCCAUAAUUUCUCAACUAAUAAACAAGUUGAAUUUAUGUUGCUACGAAUUUUUUACAUUAUUCGAACACGACAUUACCACCCUCCAUUUAUAUCAUCUAUAUGACCGAUUCCUACACAAACUACACCACCCACUAGAAUGAAUUCCUUUGUGUAAUAUUCAUAAGGUCUUAUCUCAUGCGAAGUACGAGUGAAAUCAUUAUAUUUUUUGUUUGUGAGGAUUAUUUAUCUGGUCAUAAUUUGGAGUAAGGACAUCUCUUGUUUGUGAAAGUUAUUUGUAUGGGCAUUCUCUUAUUUGUGAGGAUUAUUUGUCUGUGCAUAAUUUGUAAUAAGGACAUCUCUCGUCUAUGAAUGUUAUUUAUCUGGGCAUAGUCUGAACAUGUAUUUCAUAAAAUUAAAUAUAAUAAUAUAAAUCUCAAUUAUAUAUAUAUGAUUGUGAAUAUUAAUGUAAUAUCUAUUAUAAUAAUAAUUAUAAAUAUGUGUGUAAUAUAAUAAUAUGAUAUGUAAUUAAUAUUAAAAAAUAAUGAUAAAUAAAUUAAAAGAACUAAGAAAAUUUUUAAAAAGUUGGGAGCCAUAACUCAACCAAUACAUCCUUUCAAAAAAGAAAAAAAGCUAUAUUGUGGGUCCAAUUAGAGGUGGCAAAAAUACCUGCCCGGUCCGGACCCGGACUGUACCCGAGUGUUGUGGGCCGGGUAAUACCCGGUCCAGGUAUGAAGCCGGGUCGGUCUUGGAUUACCAAAAAAUAAAAAAUAUAUACACAUAUAAUAUUAAAAAUAUAAAAUUCAAAUAUCCAGAUUAAAACUCGGUCUGAAUCCAAACCCUAACCAGUUGCAUCCGGGCAGAGUUCGGUCAUUGCAAUACCCAGACACGACCCAAAAUUUUGACAUCCCUAAGUCCAACCUUUCAAUUCACCACAUCCAACUUCUCGAUGAUUAAAUAAAUAGUAAAAACGAAAAAGCACAAAACAUGUAAAAGUAAAAUCUUAUAAAUUUUACAUUUUAACGAUCAAUGUGCAAUAAUGGAAUCCAGCUGCAAGUGCCAAACAUUCAUUCGUUCGUUCGUUCAUUUUCAUUUAUUCCAUUCCUUGAUUCAGGAGGGGAAAAAAUUGACACAGAAUAAGUAAUAAUAAUGAUAAUAGUAAUCAGUCAAAAAAGGGGGGGGGGGGGGGGGUUCACACGUUUUAAUAGUGUAUUUAAAAAGAAAAAGAAUUCAAAAAAUUUAAAUUAAAGUUGAUUUGUGAAAUGGACCUGGCAGCUAAAAAGGAAAUAGUAUGACUGUGCAGAGGAACAGUCUUUUGUAUGACUGUGCAGAGGAACAGUCUUUUGUAUAUGCGCACUUACACACACGCAUGAGUAUAAAACGACAGCGUGAUUGCUGCAUCCUAACAAAAAGAGAAGUAGCGAUAAAGGUGAAAACCGAAAACAUUAUUUGAAUUAAUAAGAAAUAAGCUUUAUUCGGAGUUAUUUAUUUUGUAAAAAAAAAAGAAAAAAAAAAGGGAUUAAAAUUAAAUGUCGGUCAAUUGGUAACUCCGCACGCGCGGUCUUCUAUUUGUUGUCGUCUUCUUACGGUUUUGGCUUCAGUGCUGCGCCUCUGAGACGACCACGUCACCCCACCAUUUUAUCUCUCAUUUCGCGAGGAGUUAUACGUUUCGCGAUAUUUUGAGAUCAACGCCAUCGCUGUCCAUGACCAUUCACCGCGUCAACGGUUCGUAUUAUGCGCAAUUCUUUGAGCACCGAACGCCGGAGGAAGAAACGAAAGUACAACUCAGCUUGAAUUUUGUACGUGCCAAUUUUUUUAUGAGUGAGUGUAAACUACGUUUUGCCGCGUGGUCAUUUGCAUUGCAUAAUUUUUUGAACGCGAUUGAUUUACGCUAUUAAAAAUUUAAAAAUUUACCGAGACCAAAGUAAAUUAUUUACUUCAAAAAUUUUAUGGUGUGGUGAUUAAAAUUACGAUAUCAAUACCGUAAUUAUUAUAGAUCAUUAGAUUAAAUUAAUGAUUCACAAUAAUAAUAAUAUAAUAAAAAUAUUUAAUUAAAUUAUAUUUAACUAGUUACAAGUAUGAUGUUCUUUUAAAAAUAAAAUUUUAUCGGAAUAUAUUUUUUAAAAAAAUUUACCUUUUAAAAGAAUUUAAAAAUAUAAAGGAAAAAUUAUAUUUAUUUUUUACAAUAGGGAAAAUUAUAGUUGAAUGUUCAUUUAUUGUUAUAUUUUUUAAAAGAAAAAAAGGUGUUUCAAAUUAUGAUUACGCAAUCAACGUUAUCAAAUUGUUUUAAGUAGGGACAAUUGAUAAACUGGCCUCCUUGAGAAAUUACGGCAGAUGAGGUAAUUCUAUUUCUAGCAAUGAUUAUCUCGGUAAUGUACCAGCAAACGCUGUAGACUUAUUGUUACAGCUUAAGUUAAGCAUUUUACAAAGGAUUCGGGCGUAUGAAAGGCUCAAAAGUAAAGACUGGUGAGUAGCGUCAGAGGUAGUGAAAGUAAAAGCCACAUUUCUGUUGUGUUGAUUAAUCAUCUGUGGAUUCCCCCAAUCUUAUGUACAGUGCCAGCUGUAAAGUGUAAACUAUGCAGUAAUAUUAAUGAACUGAAUUUUUUGAGCUUUGGCCAAUUGGCCUUGCCCCAUUGAGGUAAUGAUGACCAAAUUUUAAACCACCCGCCCCCCCUCCCCGCGGAAAGAAGGUUAACUGAGAUUGCGAAUUAGGGUGUUGAAAAUUCAAUUAAAUCUGACCAAUUUGCUUAGUCUGAUACAAAAUCUAUCUAUAACAUGUUUUCUUUUUAAUUAUAUUUGAAAUUUAGAAUUCCCCAUUAGUGGAUUAAAUUCCGCCCACCCAAAUUUUAAUUCAUAUUACUGUUGAACUGGCCGGAUGCAAUGGAAUGAAUUGAAAUGAAACAUUUGUAAUCGGUAAAAAAUCACGAAACAAUGCUAUCCCUUCUGAAUUCUUUGAUAUUUAUUAAUUUUAAGGGAAACAAUUGUCACCAUAAACAUAAAAUGAUUAAAGAAUGAUCAACUAGAUCAGUAAAAUUAAUUAAGGAGACAAAACUAAUAAAUGGGCGCGAUGAAAACGAGCGAACCAUGGAUUCUUCUCAAAAAUCUCGGGACAAGAUUUGAAGUGGAGGCCAACAGCACAGCGCACUUAUCGCCAAUCCUGAUACUACUUGCUAGUUACUCAUUUGUUAUUACUAUAAACCCCCCAGUUUUUACAGUUCAUGUAACGCACAGCUAAAGACGUUUAAUCAACCAGAUCCUCGUCUACUAUGAAACAGUAAACACAUGCAGGGCUUUAGCAGUUAGCAGUCAGCUGUGUACUUAUUUAUAUAUUUUUUUAACUCAUAGUUGUCUAAAGUGUCUAUUUUAUUUAUUUAUUUAUUCACAAGUUAAUUAUAAAGCUUCUUCAUCACCACUUUGCCUCGAUAUUGUGACCCUUCCCUCAGAUUUGAAUCAGGAACUCUUCUCAGUCCUCAUUCCUCCCCUUUUUCUCUCUCUAUUUCGUCUUCAAAAUCGUCUUUCCAGCGCUACAUUUUUAGUUCAAAAGUUGAAACCUCUUCAACUUUUAAUUAUUUCUUUCUUUUUUCCUUAGUUAAGUUGUGAUGAUGGCGCAAAAGCAGCAGCACUUGCACGAGCUACUGAAGGAAGAUCAAGAACCAUUUCAGCUGAAGAACUACAUUGCUGACAGGCGUUGCCAGCUGAAAGGAGCAUCAGCAGUUGCAUCCUCACAGAAAACACAAAUACAAGUCAAGAAGCGGAAACCCAUUUCACAGACCACAAAGUUUCCAUCAAGCUUUUGCAAAAACGUUUGCUUUUUCUCGUUCCAUGACUCACCUGCGGACCCAAGAAAAUCUCCACUCUUUGAAUUCCCGUCUCCAGCUAAGGGUGCUAAAAGCCCUUGCAGGAGUCCAAAUAAAAUCUUUCUUCAAGUCCCUGCAAGAACUGCAGCUUUGCUUCUUGAAGCUGCGCUUAGGGUUCAGAAACAAUCUUCAAAGCAAAAAACCCAGAACAAAAAAAAUGCUUUUGGUUUGUUUGGUUCCCUUAGGAGGAAGCUCACUAAUAGAAACAUAAUUAGAAAGCGUGGAGAGGGUAGUGGUAGCGGAGUUAAGGUCUCGGUGAAGGAUAUUUUGAGGUGGGAUUCUUCUGUUGGUCGUACAAAAGCUUCUAAUGAUCAAAAAAUGGAGGACAAAAGUUCUUUUGAGAUAAUUGCUUCUGAGAUGAGACUUUCUCGUUCUUGCAGUACUGGUGUUUGGUCUGAAAGCGAUGAAGACAACAAUUCUUUAGAUUUGGAUUUAGAGACUUCAUGCAGUAGCCAUUCUAAUGAUUUCGAAGAGCACGAGAUUGAAAGCGCAGAUUUUGCUUCUUGCGAUGAGAAGCGCUUAUCUGAAAGCCCUUUUCGUUUUGUGCUUCAAACAAGCCCUUCCCCUGGUCGACGGACGCCGGAUUUCACAUCGCCGGAACCCUCCCCGAUUCGCCACAAAAAAGAGGUUUGUUUUAUUUUGUCUUUUCUAUGUCAUAUUUGUUUAAUAAUUACUGCACAACGAGUAAACUCGUGAGCCAGCUGAGCUGACUGGGUUUGACAUGUUUGAAUUGUCGGCAAUUACGGUCAUUUCCCGCAACUUUGCCCGGAAUGUCUGUGUUGGAUGUCAAAUAGGCCCUGCUUUUAAUUGCAUAAUUUGCAAAAGAUCCGGCUCUUUACAGGGUUAUAAAUGUCAUUUGAUUAUUUGUUUGUAUGUUCAUGUAAGUGUACUUCUGAUCUUGUCUCUGCCAUGCAAAUCUUUUGAUUAUGUUAGUGUCUAGAAAAUUAUUUUCCGAAAGAGGACAAAUCUUCUUGUUUUUUCUUUUGUUUCUUAUCAAUGAAGUCCCGACGUCCUUUUUUUAGUAAAUUGCUAUUUUCAGCUGUAUUUUUUUGAAAAUUACAAGAGAAGUCAACAAGGGCCACCGACUCUGAUUGGAAAUUCACAUUCCUAAUUCACAAAUUAUGAAGAUUAAAUGCAUUGUAGUUAUUAACUCAAAUACAAUAAUGUCUUGUUUGUGGUUGUUAUGAAAAUUUAAUAAGGAAUUGUGGGCAAUCUCUUAAUCACGCUAUAAUAAUUGUUUAAUAAAUAGGAGCAGGAGAAUCAUGAGAUAGAGAUCAUAAAGAAAUUCCAAGGUGAAGCUGAGGAUGAAGAAGAGGAGAAGGAACAAUGCAGUCCUGUAUCAGUAUUGGACCCUCCAUUCGAGGACGAUGACGAAGGACACGGCGAUGAAGUCGAGGACGUGUAUGAUCUUGAAUGCAGCUAUGCAAUUGUACAAAGUAAGUAAUCAUGCAUCACUAGCUUGCUAUUUUUUCAAUUUUGUACCCUUGUUAGUUGUGUAGUCAUUAUCAAUCAGCAUACAAUAUUUUGUUCUGCAUACUUUUGUGUUUGUUUAGAAUUUAAUGCUUGUUGUGUUUGGAGGUCAUGAUCAUAUGCAUGUGUUAGCUGUGAAACAAUGACGUCUUUCAUUGAUCCAAUGUAAGAAAUUUUUUUAGAAAAACAAAUAAUAUCUGUGUGGGAUCCAUUUCAAGAUUGCUGGUAAUCUAGAUGAGAGGGUAACAGUGUUAAAUUGUUCUGUUGUGUUGAAAUUUCAUUGUUGUUGGAAGUAGACAUAUCUAAUGUUGUAAUAACUUUGCAUAUGACCCUCAAACUUGUGAAGUAUGAGGGUGCGUUUGGUACACGUAUUGUAUUAUGAUGUAUUAUAUUAUUUUAAUGUUGAUGUAUUGUAUUAUGCUGUAUUGCAUUAAUAUUGUAUUAUAAUAAUACUGUACAAUGUUUGGUAUUUAUAAAAUUAAAAAAGGGGAAGCUACUGACUUUUAAAACACAAAAGUCAGUAAUACAGCCUAAUCACGAGAGGGGGUGGGGGUUUUGAUAAUGCGGCAAAAGCUGCACUUUAAUGCUGCUCAAUGCAAUCCAUUUGAUCACCAAACACAGGUAUAUUUUAACUAAUGCUGGGCCCACACGAUAAUACAAUGCAAUACCACGUGCCAAACAUACCCUGAAUGUACUCUUCAUGAUCAAUUUGCUGGACUGUAUGCAAUCAUCAACCUAACUUAAAUUUUAAAUGUUUUGUCAAAAAUCUUGUGCCUGUUUGAUUGUUGCAUAAAUUUGAUGUAUGAACCGAUUUACCUUCUAUUUACUGUGUUGUAGCAAACUGUUGGAAAUAAGUAUUUGGAACAUCCCAUUGACUUUUUUGAGUUAAUGAAUUUCCCAUUUAGUACUCGGAUAAUAAUUUCCGGAGCUGUCAAUUAUUUUUUUUUUUUCAUUUGCUUCGGUAAUUUCAAUUACCGUACUUUAGAUGUAAGAUGUAGUUAAGAGGCUUGGGCAGGUUGGAAUGAUUUCUGAUUCAAAUAUAAGUCUGAAACCAAAAAGAUUUUUAGUCUUGUUGUCAUUAAUUCAGUUGAGACCUACAUGGAGGGUCCCUUUCUAUUUUAGAUAUGGUGACCAAUGGACUUAUUUAUUUUGCCGGAGCUUGAAAUUGGAGCCCAAUAAAGCAUAAAUUCUAGCCCUACCAUUUGUUGUGCAUUGAGAGCAAAUUUGAUCUCUACCAAAUGUUGUUGUAAUUAAAGCAAAAUGAUGUCGCUGCACGCAUUGACUUACUUGUAUAAUGCAAAGCCUGAGGACCUAUAAAUCGAACUGAAACUGGAAACUGAGCUACAAGCAUUAAAUUAUUCGGUUGAGAUCUGUUUUAAUGGAAAACGUUUGAGUUGUACCUGAAAUGAUUAUAUGUACUUUUGCAAUCUGCAUAGCCAUUUAUGGUAUUACUUGCAUCAUGUACAUUUUAUGAAUUAUCGGUUGAGCUGACGUUCUGUUUGUUUUCCUGCCCGUGAUCUUUCAGGAGCAAAGAAGCAAUUAUUGCACAAGCUCCGGAGAUUUGAAAAACUGGCAGAGUUGGAUCCUAUUGAACUUGAGAAAAGAAUUUUGGAACAAGAACAAGAUUAUAAUGAGAAUGACACUUAUGACCUAGAGCAAGAAGAAGAGUUUGAGAAUUAUGAGCCAGCUUCACCAGACGGAGAAAAGGAAGUUGAUGAAUUUGUUAAAGAAGUGUUGAGCAAAAUAAACUUUUAUCACGUACGGCGAAUCCCUGAAGACAUGAAGAGGCUGGUCGUGGAUCUAAUAGCGGAGGAGGAGCAAGAGCAGAGCUGGUCUAACGACAAAGAGGCGGUGGUGAAAAGGGUGUGUAGGAGAUUGGAGUCAUGGAAAGAGGUGGAAUCAAAUACCAUUGACAUGAUGGUGGAACAUGACCUUAGAAGAGAACAUGAUGGGUGGAGAAGACGUCAAGAGCUGGUGGGAGACACGGCAUUAGAAAUCGAAUUUGGUAUCUUUGGAUUAUUGAUGGAGGAAUUAUCAGAGGAACUAGUUGUUUAACUCCGAAUUUUGGUUUAGUUUUCUUAAUUAAUUUUUUAAUAUAGUAUUAUUAAUCAAUUGAAGGGUAUAGUCUAACUUGCUGUCAAGGGAUAGGGGCUAACUAGAGAGAGGAAAGAAAACAAAAUGACCCAAGAAGGCAAGAAGCAUCUGGUUUAGCUGUUAGUAUGAUAUUAUGUAUAUGAAAUUAUGAAUCAUGUAUGUAGUUGAAGAAUUUGUUGUCUCAGCAUCCUUGCUAAAUGAGACUAGCUAGACAUCCAUGUACAAUUAAUUACUGGCCCUCAAUAUAUUAUGCUUUCUGUACCAACAGCUGUUUGUCUCUUUCAAAACACUGCAAUUAUAUGUACAUUUUUGGUAGAACCUGCAUGCUGUUAUGAACUUAUUAUUCCGUCGGUCAGUGUAAGCAAACGAGAAAUUAGGCAGUGAUGGGACAAUUUAUCAGCCAUUGCAUUGUACGAGUGGCUGCUAUAGCCGAAGAAGAAUAACCAUUCAAUACUGUCUAUAAAUGCUUAUUAUAUUAUGGUCAAAAGGGGCUAAUGUGUCAAUUCCAGCCAAGAGAGGAAAAGUACAAGAUACAUCUGUUAUUAUGAUGGUGAUUAUUAGCAUAUUUGAUUUGGGUUAGAGCAGACAAGGCAUCAUCGUGUAAUCCAUAAACUCUUCACUAGUGGCUAUAAUUGAAUGGAUAGUAUGUACAUGACUUGCUUCUACAGGAGUUGAAAAAGAGUAGAAACCUCAUCAUCAAAGUCAAAAAAAAGCCCUAGUGACCAGAGAAGAAUUUUCUUCUCAUAACUUUAUUCCUUCUCCUUACUUUGGAUAAACGACUUUAUUCCUUCUCUUUGGUCUUUUCUUCAACUAAGCUUAUGAAGCAACCGAUCAGCAGAAUAUUUACUUUUUUAUCAUCAAAUCGAGUCACUCCUUUUGGUAUCCAACAUCAGGAUCAUAGGCGAAAAAGGGAGAAUAUAUAUAUUAGGUCGAUGAACGAACAUCAUUCCUCACUUGCAGUUUGAAGAAUGAGAUGCCUGACAGGAGGGCUAGGAAUCCUAUUUCCUGCCCUUUUCUAUGGUUUCCAUUUUUCCGUGUUGCCCCUGUCACAAGGGAAAAUGACCGUAAACCCCUAACGUUUGAGAAAGAUGAAAUAAAACUCUUUAAUGUUUUAAAAAAUACUUAUAACUCCCAUUUUUAUUAUUAAAUUCCAUUGGUUUUCAUAGUAAAUUUAUUUUUACUUUACAAUUAUUAUUAUGUCUCUAUAAUAAAUAAUUUAAUAUAUCGACUUAGGACAUGACAUUGAUAAUGUAAAUAAUGGAAUCAAUAACUUUUUAUUUAAAACUUAAAAUUAAGUUGUAAUUACCUUUUACUCAAAUCAUUCACUCUAAAUUAUGAAUAUAUCCUUCCCAAUGAUAAAAAAUGAUGAAUAAUAGGUAAAACUAAAAUCAAAUUUAUUAUUGAGAAGAGUAUGUUCGUAAUUUAGAAUGAAUAAUUUGAAGAAAAAAAACGUAAUUACAUCUUAAUUUUAAGUUUUAAAUAAAAAAAUUGUUAAUUUCAUUAUACCAAUGAUAUGUCUUAAGUUAAUAUAUUGAAUUAUUUAUUAUAGGAACAUAAUAGUAAUUGUACAUUAAAAAUAAAUUUACUAUUAAAACAAAUGAAAUUUAAUAAUAAAAAUGGAGGUUAUAUGUCUUUUUUGAAACGUUAAAAUAUUUUAUGUCUCUUUUUCCAAACGUUAGGAGGCUCACUAUCCUUUUCCCCUACCACAAUUCACAAAGUAAUUAUUUAUAUAUAUAAAAAAAUACUAUGGUUAUUAUCGUUUCCGUAAAAAUGAUAAAAUUUAUAAAUAGGAGCUAGAGAUAUGAAAUGUAAAAUUUUGUAAUAAUUAAGUAAUAAAAUGUUACGCGCUCAAUUUUUAUUUUUUACCAAAUUUAUUAUUUCGCAAUUCCUGAAAGUCGCGAAUGAUUAUUCCGCAGAAAUAUCUCAUGACUGGGGCUAGAUAAUGUACGUGCGUCUCGUGACAAAUACUCUGUAAAACAUUCCGUCAACCCCCUCAAAAGAAAUGAUCCGUUGGACCAAAUGGUAGUUUUGGGAAAACUUUCUUGGUCACGGCCUAGAAGCCAAUUGGGCCACCAUGCCUCAAAGUCUCGCAGUAUUUCUUAGGACCCCCAUCUUUACUAACAGAUGAAUUGCAAGCGGGCGUCACUGAAUUCUCAAUUUUGAAGAGGAGAGGAGGGCGAAAAGUGCAAACAGACAAAAAUUAUAUAAAUAAAUAAAUGCAUAAAAUAUGGUUAAAUUUAAAAUGAUAAAAAAAAAACUUUGACCGAAUGGAUGGUCGGAAAUUGUUGUUUAUUAUAUUUUUAUUUAAAAUUAAAAAACAGUAUUUAUGUCUCCAUCUGUAUACCAUUGGACUGAAUGAAUCAUAUAAAUACAAAAUUAAAUCAAUUUUUAAGUCAUACUUUUUUUUUUUGAAAUUGAUUAAGCAUCAGGUUACUGCAUUACACAGAUAUAUAUACAACUGCUAUGACAGUAGGUCAUUACACUGAUAUUUACAAUCAAAUAUAUAUACAUGGGACUUAUAUUAUUACAUUUUUAUUCUAUGAAGUACAUGCCCAUCCCAAAUACCCUUCACGGAGGAGGGAUGUCUCUACUCCACUCGCAUUUCGCAAGGGAGAAAGACGUUUAUAGAAAUCUCCACACAAUUAUGUUUAAUUGGAGGAGGUUGAGUUCGUGGGGACUCGAACCAUUGUCCUCAUAGUCAUGCUUAACUUUGAGGGCAAUGGUCCACCACUGGGCUACAAGCCCG